UCCUUUCCUCCUUGGGGCAUCAAACCUCUUCACCAUGCUCUGGGUUCCCAUUUUGAGCCUUCUGAUCAUGUGGUGCACAGGUUCAAACUCACAGCCCGUGAUGUUUCAGCCUCCAUCAGCAUCAGUGUCUCCGGGGAACACAGUGAAACUCUCCUGUGUCAUGAGCAGUGGAUUCCAAAUCAGUGGACAUGAUAUGUACUGGCACCAGCAGAAGCCUGGGAAUCCCCCACAGUUCCUCCUAUAUUAUUAUUCUGAUUCCAACAAAAGGCAGGGCUCCGGGGUCCCCUCUCGAUUUUCUGGUUCCAAAGACACCUCCAGCAACACUGGCUAUUUAACCAUUGCGGAAGUCCUGGCCAAAGAUGAGGGUGAUUAUUACUGUUCAACUUGGCACAACGGUUAUUGUCACCAUGAUACAAUCAGAUGA